rnacentral:lncRNA from 1 species
UUUCCCCUGAGUUGGGUAACCGGGUGCAACGAGUUCGCGUUCAACUUCCAGGUCUAAGUCAGGAGCUUCUCCAGAAAUUCAGGGAGAAGAACAUUGAUUUUGCUGCCCAUAAUGCUCAAGAGGACUCAGGAUCAUUGUUGUUUAACUUGAUUGGGAAUCUGGCUUUCCCACUUAUCUUAAUUGGAGGGCUGUUCCUUCUCUCAAGGCGUUCAUCUGGUGGAAUGGGCGGUCCUGGUGGGCCUGGUUUCCCCCUUGCCUUUGGUCAGUCCAAAGCUAAAUUCCAGAUGGAACCAAAUACUGGUGUGACAUUUGAUGAUGUUGCCGGAGUUGAUGAGGCAAAACAAGAUUUCAUGGAAGUGGUGGAGUUCCUUAAGAAGCCUGAGAGAUU